GCACCUUCGGGUGUGAAUUAGCGGCGAACGGGUGAGGAACACGUGAAGAAUCUGCCUUCAACUCUGGGAUAACUCCGGGAAACCGGGGCUAAUACCGGAUAUGAGCCUUGAUCGCAUGAUCGGGGCUGGAAAGUUUUUCGGUUGAAGAUGACUUCGCGGCCUAUCAGCUUGUUGGUGAGGUAAUGGCUCACCAAGGCGACGACGGGUAGCCGGCCUGAGAGGGCGACCGGCCACACUGGGACUGAGACACGGCCCAGACUCCUACGGGAGGCAGCAGUGGGGAAUAUUGGGCAAUGGAGGAAACUCUGACCCAGCGACGCCGCGUGAGGGAUGAAGGCCUUCGGGUUGUAAACCUCUUUCAGUAGGGAAGAAGCGAAAGUGACGGUACCUACAGAAGAAGCACCGGCUAACUAUGUGCCAGCAGCCGCGGUAAUACAUAGGGUGCAAGCGUUGUCCGGAAUUAUUGGGCGUAAAGAGCUCGUAGGUGGUUCGAUACGU
rnacentral:rRNA from 1 species